rnacentral:rRNA from 1 species
CCUACGGGAGGCAGCAGUGGGGAAUAUUGGACAAUGGGGGGAACCCUGAUCCAGCCAUACCGCGUGUGUGAAGAAGGCCCUCGGGUUGUAAAGCACUUUCAGUGAGGAAGAACGCCUGGUGGUUAAUACCCAUCAGGAAAGACAUCACUCACAGAAGAAGCACCGGCUAACUCCGUGCCAGCAGCCGCGGUAAUAUGGAGGGUGCGAGCGUUAAUCGGAAUUACUGGGCGUAAAGCGCGCGUAGGUGGCUUGAUAAGCCGGUUGUGAAAGCCCCGGGCUCAACCUGGGAACGGCAUCCGGAACUGUCAAGCUAGAGUGCAGGAGAGGAAGGUAGAAUUCCCGGUGUAGCGGUGAAAUGCGUAGAGAUCGGGAGGAAUACCAGUGGCGAAGGCGGCCUUCUGGACUGACACUGACGCUGAGGUGCGAAAGCGUGGGUAGCAAACAGGAUUAGAUACCCUGGUAGUC